rnacentral:rRNA from 1 species
AACCCCAAUUUUUAAGGUUGA